CUCUAGCCCUGAUGGGAGCGGCAUCCUUUUGUGCCGGUGUUCGGCAUAAAAGAUACAGCAGACAGCAGGAAACAGC
rfam:Flavobacterium plurextorum strain CCTG 60112 WGS0045_contig_20, whole genome shotgun sequence.